rnacentral:rRNA from 1 species
UACGGGGGGAGCAAGCGUUGUUCGGAUUUACUGGGCGUAAAGGGCGCGUAGGCGGUCGUGACAAGUCACUUGUGAAAUCUCCGGGCUUAACUCGGAACGGUCAAGUGAUACUGUCGGACUAGAGUACAGAAGGGGCAACUGGAAUUCUCGGUGUAGCGGUGAAAUGCGUAGAUAUCGAGAGGAACACCUGCGGCGAAGGCGGCGAUCUGGAUCAGUACUGACACUCAACUACGAAAGCAUGGGGAGCAAACAGG